ACAUUCAUUUACUGAGUAUCAAAUAAUAUUUUUUUUCAGGUGGUUCUUAGGAAUGACGCCCAAGUAGAACGUGCUUGUAUUUGUUUAUGAUCACCAUAUAGUCCAAUUUCCUCUUUUACAGAUGGAAAACCCAAAGCCUUGAGAAACCUGAGUGACUUCCAGUAAUAGACCAGGUGCUUUGUAGCAGAGUCAGAAUUAAAGUCCAGGUCUCCCUGUCUGUUCAUUCAGCCACAGUCAUCAUUGUGGAGCCCCUGGGUGGUGUGCACGGUCAGCGAACUCCACUGCUUCUGGAAAGGUUGGAAGUUGGAGUUCACGCAAGAUACUUCUCAGAAGAAAGGCCGGGUGAACCUACUUCUGAAAAAUCUCAGCCCUUGAAAGCCCUGUGGCGCACACUCUGGUACACUUGGAGUCACAUGACUUAGAGUUGACACAAUAAACAACCUGUGUUUUAAAAUCA